rnacentral:rRNA from 1 species
GGGAUAACAGGAGGAAACUCCUGCUAAUACCGCAUAGCCAUGAGCACCGCAUGGAGCUCAUGCCAAAUAUCCUUUCGGGGAUAGCGCAGGGAUGGACCUAUGGCGCAUUAGCUGGUUGGCGGGGCAACGGCCCACCAAGGCAACGAUGCGUAGCCGGCCUGAGAGGGCGGACGGCCACAUUGGGACUGAGACACGGCCCAGACUCCUACGGGAGGCAGCAGUAGGGAAUUUUCGGCAAUGGGGGAAACCCUGACCGAGCAACGCCGCGUGAGCGAAGAAGGCCUUCGGGUCGUAAAGCUCUGUUGUAAAGGAAGAACGGCGCAUACAGGAAAUGGUAUGCGAGUGACGGUACUUUACCAGAAAGCCACGGCUAACUACGUGCCAGCAGCCGCGGUAAUACGUAGGUGGCGAGCGUUAUCCGGAAUCAUUGGGCGUAAAGAGGGAGCAGGCGGCCGCAAGGGUCUGUGGUGAAAGACCGAAGCUAAACUUCGGUAAGCCAUGGAAACCGGGCGGCUAGAGUGCGGAAGAGGAUCGUGGAAUUCCAUGUGUAGCGGUGAAAUGCGUAGAUAUAUGGAGGAACACCAGUGGCGAAGGCGACGGUCUGGGCCGCAACUGACGCUCAUU